GGCGGCGUUUGACAACACAUUAAGUAUACGAACAUAAAACAUACAUUUCAGUAAAGAAUAUAAAACUUAAAAUGUCAUGACAAGGUUCGACACUCCCAGCAGAUGAAUGCAACACCACUUCAUCCCUGGGUCAUAGCCAAUAAAGAUGGUAUGGUAGAGGCAGCACAUUGCGACUGCAAGGCUGGUCUCAGGGAGACAUGUAGCCAUGUCGGAGCCUUGCUUUUUCACAUAGAGGCUAUACAUCGCCUCAUGUCCCGCAGAACUGUGACACAGGAAAAGGCUUACUGGUCCACGCCUAAAGCAGUCGACAAGGUGCCCUAUGCUGAAAUUCGGGAUAUCGAUUUUACGUCUGUGUCAACCAAAAAAAGGCGUCUUGACAGUGUUAUUAAUGGUGAGGACGUUCAACAAGAGCGACAACCUUUGAAAUUGCCAUAUGUACCUGAACCGACCGCACUAGAAAG